rnacentral:lncRNA from 1 species
UUAAGAAUUAUUAUUACUCCCCACUCAAGUGUUUUACAAUGAAGGGAGAGGCCUUUAUUUAUAAUUGAGCCUCCUCAAAUCCAACGGUAUAGAUCAAUUACAUCAAUGGCUAAGAUUAAAGGGUAUCUACAAAUUAAAUCUCUAAGAUUACAAAAUCAUAUCUUCUAAGCAUACCAUAUCUAAGAUUGCAUAUAUCAUAUCUAAGAUUGCAUAUCCUUGAAGAUUAUGUUUCCAUAGGCUUGUAGAUGGACCUUCAACCUUUUCAAGUAAUGGGUCAUUCCGAUCGGGCCAAAUGAUAUAAUUUUGGACUGGACUUGGACUUUGUUUUAUUAUUUUGGGUUUAUUAAUUUUUUGUGAGCCCGGGCUAAAUUGGCCUAUUACAGCUGCCCCUCUUUGCUCAUUGUCAUGUAACGAGAAUGGAGCAAAGACUAUAAAAGGGCCAAUUUUGCCCGAUCGUGUUGGACAUUGGUGUGCUUCUUCUUCAAGUAGCCUCUUCCUGACCCAUUGUAGCUUUAGGGAGAUAAGGCUCACUUCCUUCAACCUAUUCCACUGCAACUUCAGGGAGAUAAGAUUGAUAUCUUCAACUGGCUCCACUGUAACUUCAGGGAGAUAAGGUUGGUUAUCUUCAGUCUUGAUCUACUCCACUGCAACGUUAUGGAAACAAGAUUCGCUACCUUGAGCUUUAAUCUAUUCUACUGUAAUGACAAGGAGAUAAGAUUCGCUGCCUUCUAUCUUCUCCAUUACUACUUAGGGAUACAGGAUCUACAAUCUUCGACCUACUCCACUGCUGCUCAGGGAGAAGGGAUUGGUGGCUUAAAUUUGCUUCCCUACUACCUUGGGAAGAUAGGAUUUGCUGCCUUCGAUCUGGUCCACUACUUCUUAGGGAGACAGGAUCUACAAUCUUCAACCUACUCCACCGCUGCUCAAGGAGAUAGGACUGGUGGCUUAAAUCUGCUUCCCUACUACCUUGGGAAUAUAAGAUUUACCAUCUUCGAUCUGCUCCACACUGCUUAGGGAGACAAGAUCUACAAUCUUCAAUCUACUUCACUGCCAAUACAUGAAGACAAGAUCUGUUAUCUUCAAUCUACUUCGCUGCCAAUACAGGAAGACAAGAUUUGCUAUUUUCGAUCUACUUCGCUGCCAAUACAGGAAGACAAGAUUUGCUAUCUUCGCUACGAGUACAAGAAGACAACAUCUAGAGCAGAAGAAAAUAGUGUUUCUUCCGCAACUAGGUUCUGAUUGGAACCGGUUGGUAGAGUCUCCAUGCAAAGGUAUCUCAUGGGACCUCAUGGGACCUCAUGGGACAAUGGAGGAAGAAAAGGUCUAGAGCAGAAGAUGAUUAAUUGUAAAUAAACUAGUACCGAUCCCACGUAGACCUGAUUUAAGCAGAAGACGAUUAAUUGUGAAGAAACUAGUAUUGAAAAUAAUUGUAUUAUUUCUUAAGAAUGUUAUAUUUAUCAUUUUAAAAAUAAUUUAAAAUAAUAUUUAAAAUUAAAUAAGAUAUUUUAUUUCUCGGUUACCUUGUGCACAAUGCUUGCAAUGUGGUCGUUGUCAUUUAAAAGAACAUUCAGAUUAGGAUCCAUGGAAUGGUUGGCGGUCGUCGGCGAUGGUUAAGCGUGAACAGCAGCAGUCGUCGGCAGUGGUUGAGAGUGGCGGUGGACGGAAUGGCCUAUUUAUAGUGGGGGACCAUUUGAAAGGGGGGCAAAAUUGGAAAAAAAUUUAAUACUUCUGACACACUUUUUUUUUUCAUUCAAUUUGAUUUAUUUCAUUUAAUUUUAAGCACUCAAUUUUAUGACACACUUUUUUUUCUACCAAUCUGAUUUAUUUCAUUCAAUCUGACACACUUUCUUUUUUUUUUUCAUUCAAUUUUAAGCAUGCCAACAUCUGACACACUUUUUUUUUUCAUUCAUUUCAAUGUUUUUUCUACAUCUAACACCCUUUUUUUUUCAUUCAAUCUCAUUUAUUUCAAUUUUAUUUUUCUAUAUCUAACACCCUUCUUUUCAUUCAAUCUCAUUUAUUUCAAUUUUAUUUUUCUACAUCUAACACCCUUUUUUUCAUUCAAUCUCAUUUAUUUUAACUUUUUGAAUUUUUUUUAUACAUAAAAGUGGUGCCGGCCAUUGCCAGGCCACCACAAAAAAAAAUUGAUUUUUUUGUAUACUGGUGCUAGCCAAUAACAGCCAAAAUGUAAAAAAAAAAUUACAUAAAGGUGGUGCCGACCAUUGCCAGGCCACCACCAAAAAAUUUUUUUUUGAAUUUUUUCGUAUACGGGUGUCGGCCUAUGACAGCCAAAGUGUAAAAAAAAAUUGGUGGUGGCCUGGUAAUGGCCGACACCACCUUUACGUAUUUUUUUUUUACAUUUUGGGCUGUCAUUGGUAGGCACUAGUAUACAAAAAAAUUUAAAAAAAAAAUUUGGUGGUGGCCUGCCAAUGGCUGGCACCAUCUUUAUGGGAAAAAAAAAUUUCGAGUGCCAUCAAAAUGAGAGUGUCUUGUAGUAUAUCAUCAAAUAAGUUUUUUUGGAGUGGAUUGUAUAUGGAGUUUUUUGUAGUGUACAAUCAAAUUUCGGGGUUGAAUUAUAUACUGUCAAGUCCACCCUAAAGGUUAUGCUAUUAAGGGUUGGAUGAUUCUUUACACCAUAGAUGGCUAAUCGAGUUGUCCAAUAUGCAGAUGGACAUUAUCUAUGGUGCAAUAGUGUUUAUUCUGCAACUAGGUUCUAAUUGGAAUCGGUUGAUAGAAUCUCCAUGCAAAGGUAUCUCAUGGGACCUCAUAGGACAAUGGAGGAAGAAAAGGUCUAGAGCAGAAGACGAUUAAUUGUGAAGAAACUAGUGCCGGUGCCACGUAGACCUGAUUCAAGCAGAAGACGAUUAAUUGUGAAGAAACUAGUAUUGAAAAUAAUUGUAUUAUUUCUUAAGAAUGUUAUAUUUAUCGUUUUAAAAAUAAUUUAAAAGAAUAUUUAAUAUUAAUUAGGACAUUUUAUUUCUCGGUUACCUUGUACACAAUGCUUGCAAUGUGGUCGUUGUCAUUUAAAAGAACAUUUGGAUUAGGAUCCACGGAGUGAUCGGCGGUCGUCGGCGAUGGUUAAGCAUGAACAGCGGCGGUCGUCGACAGUGGUUGAGGGUGGCGGUGGACGGAAUGGCCUAUUUAUAGUGGGGGACCAUUUUAAAAGGAGGCAAAAUUGGAAAAAAAAUUUAAUACUUCUGACACACUUUUAUUUUUCAGUCAAUUUGGUUUAUUUCAUUUAAUUUUAAUCAUUCAAUUUUAUGACACACUUUUUUUUUCUACCAAUCUGAUUUAUUUCAUUCAAUCUGACACACUUUGUUUUUUUUUCAUUCAAUUUUAAGCAUGCCAACAUCUGACACACUUUUUUUAUCAUUCAUUUCAAUUUUUUAUUUCUACAUCUAACACCCCUUUUUUUCAUUCAAUCUCAUUUAUUUCAAUUUUAUUUUUCUAUAUCUAACACCCUUUUUUUCAUUCAAUCUCAUUUAUUUCAGUUUUAUUUUUCUACAUCUAACACCCUUUUUUUCAUUCAAUGUCAUUUAUUUUAACUUCUUGAAUUUUUUUUUACAUAAAGGUGGUGUCGACCAUUGCCAAGCCACCACCAAAAUUUUUUUUUUGAAUUUUUUCAUAUACUGUUGCCGGCAAAUUACAGCCAAAAUGUAAAAAAAAAUUUACAUAAAGGUGGUGUCGGCCAUUGCCAGGCCACCACAAAAAAAUUGUUUUUUUAUUUUUUCGUAUACUGGUGCCGGCCUAUGAUAGCCAAAAUGUAAAAAAAAAAUGGUGGUGGCCUGGUAAUGGCCGACACCACGUUUAUGUAAUUUUUUUUUUUACACUUUGGGCUGUCAUUGGCAGGCACUAGUAUACAAAAAAAUAAAUAAAAAUUUUGUUGGUGGCCUGCCAAUGGCUGGCACCAACUUUAUGGGAAAAAAAAAUUUCGGGUGCAAUCAAAAUGAGAGUGUUUUGUAGUAUAUCAUCAAAUAAGUUUUUUUGGAAUGGAUUGUAUAUGGAGUUUUUUGUAGUGUACAAUCAAAUUUCGGGGUUCAAUUAUAUACUGUCAUAUUUUAUUUGAGUUGAAUUAUAUACUGUCAAGUCCACCCUAAAGGUUAUGCUAUUAAGGGUUGGAUGAUUCUUUGCACCAUAGAUGGCUAAUCGAGUUGUACAAUAUGCAGAUGGACAUUAUCUAUGGUGCAAUAGUGUUUAUGCUACAACUAGGUUCUGAUUGGAAUCGGUUGAUAGAGUCUCCAUGCAAAGGUAUCUCAUGGGACCUCAUGGGACAAUGGAGGAAGAAAAGGUCUAGAGCAGAAGACGAUUAACUGUGAAGAAACUAGUACCGAUGCCAUGUAGACCUGAUUCAAGCAGAAGACGAUUAAUUGUGAAGAAACUAGUAUUGAAAAUAAUUGUAUUAUUUCUUAAGAAUGUUAUAUUUAUCGUUUUAAAAAUUAUUUAAAAGAAUAUUUAAUAUUAAAUAGGACAUUUUAUUUCUCGGUUACCUUGUACACAAUGCUUGCAAUGUGGUCGUUGUCAUUUAAAAGAACAUUUGGAUUAGGAUCCAUGGAGUGAUCGGCGGUCAUUGGCGAUGGUUAAGCAUGAACAGCGGCGGUCGUCGACAGUGGUUGAGGGUGGCGGUGGACGGAAUGGCCUAUUUAUAGUGGGGGACCAUUUUAAAAGGAGGCAAAAUUGGAAAAAAGAAUUUAAUACUUCUGACACACUUUUAUUUUUCAUUCAAUUUGGUUUAUUUCAUUUAAUUUUAAUCAUUCAAUUUUAUGACACACUUUUUUUUUCUACCAAUCUGAUUUAUUUCAUUCAAUCUGACACACUUUGUUUUUUUUCAUUCAAUUUUAAGCAUGCCAACAUCUGACACACUUUUUUUAUCAUUCAUUUCAAUUUUUUAUUUCUACAUCUAACACGCUUUUUUUCAUUCAAUCUCAUUUAUUUCAAUUUUAUUUUUCUAUAUAUAACACCCUUUUUUUCUUUCAAUCUCAUUUAUUUAAGUAUUAUUUUUCUACAUCUAACACCCUUUUUUUUCAUUCAAUGUCAUUUAUUUUAACUUCUUAAAAUUUUUUUUACAUAAAGGUGGUGUCGGCCAUUGCCAAGCCACCACCAAAAAAAAUAUUUGAAUUUUUUCGUAUACUGUUGCCAGCAAAUGACAGCCAAAAUGUAAAAAAAAAAUUUACAUAAAGGUGAUGCCGGCCAUUGCCAGGCCACCACCAAAAAAAAAUUGUUUUUGAAUUUUUUCGUAUACUGGUGCCGGCCUAUGACAAAAAAAAUGUAAAAAAAAAUUGGUGGUGGCCUGGUAAUGGCCAACACCACCUUUAUGUAAUUUUUUUUUUACAUUUUGGGCUGUCAUUGGCAGGCACUAGUAUACAAAAAAAUAAAAAAAAUUUUGUUGGUGGCUUGCCAAUGGCUGGCACCAACUUUAUGGGAAAAAAAAAUUUCGGGUGCCAUCAAAAUGAGAGUGUUUUGUAGUAUAUCAUCAAAUAAGUUUUUUUGGAGUGGAUUGUAUAUGGAGUUUUUUGUAGUGUACAAUCAAAUUUCGGGGUUGAAUUAUAUACUGUCAUAUUUUAUUGGAGUUGAAUUAUAUACUGUCAAGUCCACCCUAAAGGUUAUGCUAUUAAGGGUUGGAUGAUUCUUUGCACCAUAGAUGGCUAAUCGAGUUGUCCAAUAUGUAGAUGGACAUUAUCUAUGGUGCAAUAGUGUUUAUUCUGCAACUAGGUUCUGAUUGGAAUCGGUUGAUAGAGUCUCCAUGCAAAGGUAUCUCAUGGGACCUCAUGGGACAAUGGAGGAAGAAAAGGUCUAGAGCGGAAGACGAUUAAUUGUGAAGAAACUUGUACCGAUGCCACGUAGACCUGAUUCAAGCAGAAGACGAUUAAUUGUGAAGAAACUAGUAUUGAAAAUAAUUGUAUUAUUUCUUAAGAAUGUUAUAUUUAUCGUUUUAAAAAUUAUUUAAAAUAAUGUUAUAUUUCUCGGUUACCUUGUGCACAAUGCUUGCAAUGUGGUUGUUGUCAUUUAAAAGAACAUUCGGAUUAGGAUCCAUGGAGUCAUCGGCGGUCAUCGGCGAUGGUUAAGCGUGAAUAGCGGCGGUCGUCAGUAGUGGUUGACGGUGGCGGUGGACGGAAUGGCCUGUUUAUAGUGGGGGACCAUUUGAAAGGGGGGCAAAAUUGAAAAAAAAAUUUAAUACUUCUGACACAUUUUUUUUUUCUUUCAAUCUGAUUUAUUUCAUUUAAUUUUAAGCAUUCAAUUUUAUGACACUUUUUUUUUCUACCAAUCUGAUUUAUUUCAUUUAAUCUGACACACUUUUUUUUUCAUUCAAUUUUAAGCAUGCCAACAUCUGAAACACUUUUUUUUUCAUUCAUUUCAAUUUUUUUCUACAUCUAA